rnacentral:misc_RNA from 1 species
CCCAAAUCAUCCUGAAAGAUUUCUGCAAGGCUCUUCUGUUUACUACCAAGUCCUAAACCUAGUAAACCAAUCAGACCAUCACCACCCCACUCUGUGGAGCCACCCACCUUCUCAGUCUCAACCUCAGUUUCAUGUUUCCUUGAAUCAAAUCCUGGUGGCAUAGAGAACAAAGAUCUUCCACUCCCAUUAUCAGCACUAUUCACUUUCCUCCUAUCCCCAAUCCCACCUAAAACCGAACUCCCUCCACCCUUCAAUCUUUGUGUGAACCUCCAAUCCUCCCUGGAAAUCAAAGGAGGUGGAAGCCUAGGGUUCAAAU